rnacentral:misc_RNA from 1 species
GAUGAAGAACGCAGCGAAAUGCGAUAAGUAAUGUGAAUUGCAGAAUUCAGUGAAUCAUCGAAUCUUUGAACGCACAUUGCGCCCGCCAGUAUUCUGGCGGGCAUGCCUGUUCGAGCGUCAUUUCAACCAUCAAGCCCCAGGCUUGUGAUGGGGACCUGCGGCUGCCGCAGGCCCUGAAAACCAGUGGCGGGCUCGCUGUCACACCGGGCGUAGUAGAUUUUAUCUCGCUCAGGGCGUGCUGCGGGUUCCGGCCGUUAAAAAGCCUUUUUUACCCAAGGUUGACCUCGGAUCAGGUAGGAAGACCCGCUGAACUUAAGCAUAUCAAUAAGCGGAGGA